rnacentral:hammerhead_ribozyme from 1 species
GCACUACUGAGGAGUCCCACAAUAGGACGAAACGGCAGUCCAAUGC